rnacentral:rRNA from 1 species
GACGUAGGGCGCGAGCGUUGUCCGGAUUUAUUGGGCGUAAAGAGCUCGUAGGCGGCUUGUCGCGUCGACUGUGAAAACCCGUGGCUCAACCAUGUGGUCUGCAGUCGAUACGGGCAGGCUAGAAUUCGGUAGGGGAGACUGGAAUUCCUGGUGUAGCGGUGAAAUGCGCAGAUAUCAGGAGGAACACCUAUAGCGAAGGCAGCUUGCUGGGACGUUACUGACGCUGAGACGCGAAAGCGUGGGGAGCGAACAGG